rnacentral:sRNA from 14 species
UGAAGAAUUAUGUAUAAUAACUUUUGCAGAAAAGUGAAAAGAUAAUGGCUAAUCUCUUGAAUAAAGGGGUGAUGCCUAUGGUUCAUAGCUUUAUCUCUAGAUGUAGUAGACAUGUCUGGAUUCGAAAUAUUAUUGCUAAUGGUUGCAUUCGUAACGCUAGUUUUGCUGGGGAUAGACCGUAU